rnacentral:rRNA from 1 species
GACGAACGCUGGCGGCGUGCCUAAUACAUGCAAGUAGAACGCACAGUUUAUACCGUAGCUUGCUACACCAUAGACUGUGAGUUGCGAACGGGUGAGUAACGCGUAGGUAACCUGCCUGGUAGCGGGGGAUAACUAUUGGAAACGAUAGCUAAUACCGCAUAAUAUUGAUUAUUGCAUGAUAAUUGAUUGAAAGAUGCUAUUGCAUCACUACCAGAUGGACCUGCGUUGUAUUAGCUAGUAGGUGAGGUAACGGCUCACCUAGGCGACGAUACAUAGCCGACCUGAGAGGGUGGUCGGCCACACUGGGACUGAGACACGGCCCAGACUCCUACGGGAGGCAGCAGUAGGGAAUCUUCGGCAAUGGACGAAAGUCUGACCGAGCAACGCCGCGUGAGUGAAGAAGGUUUUCGGAUCGUAAAGCUCUGUUGUAAGAGAAGAACGGGUGUGAGAGUGGAAAGUUCACACUGUGACGGUAGCUUACCAGAAAGGGACGGCUAACUACGUG